rnacentral:miRNA from 1 species
UCCUUCCGUUCGGAAUUAC